UGGGGAAUUUUGGCCAAUGGGGGAAACCCUGAUCCAGCCAUCCCGCGUGUGCGAUGAAGGCCUUCGGGUUGUAAAGCCCUUUUGUCAGGAAAGAAACGUCAUGGGUUAAUACCCCGUGAAACUGACGGUACCUGCAGAAUAAGCACCGGCUAACUACGUGCCAGCAGCCGCGGUAAUACGUAUGGUGCAAGCGUUAAUCGGAAUUACUGGGCGUAAAGCGUGCGCAGGCGGUUCGGAAAGAAAGAUGUGAAAUCCCAGAGCUCAACUUUGGAACUGCAUUUUUAACUACCGGGCUAGAGUGUGUCAGAGGGAGGUGGAAUUCCGCGUGUAGCAGUGAAAUGCGUAGAUAUGCGGAGGAACACCGAUGGCGAAGGCAGCCUCCUGGGAUAACACUGACGCUCAUGCACGAAAGCGUGGGGAGCAAACAGG
rnacentral:rRNA from 1 species